GUAGGUGGCAAGCGUUGUCCGGAAUUAUUGGGCGUAAAGCGCGCGCAGGCGGUUCUUUAAGUCUGAUGUGAAAGCCCACGGCUCAACCGUGGAGGGUCAUUGGAAACUGGAGAACUUGAGUACAGAAGAGGAAAGCGGAAUUCCACGUGUAGCGGUGAAAUGCGUAGAGAUGUGGAGGAACACCGGUGGCGAAGGCGGCUUUCUGGUCUGUAACUGACGCUGAGGCGCGAAAGCGUGGGGAGCAAACAGGAUUAGAUACCCUGGUAGUCCACGCCGUAAACGAUGAGUGCUAAGUGUUAGGGGUUUCCCGCCCCCCUUAGUGCUGCAGCUAACGCAUUAAGCACUCCGCCUGGGGAGUACGGCCGCAAGGCUG
rnacentral:rRNA from 1 species